CCUACGGGAGGCUGCAGUGGGGGAUAUUGCACAAUGGGGGGAACCCUGAUGCAGCGACGCCGCGUGGGUGAAGAAGCGCCUCGGCGCGUAAAGCCCUGUCAGCAGGGAAGAAAAUGACGGUACCUGAAGAAGAAGCCCCGGCUAACUACGUGCCAGCAGCCGCGGGAAUACGGAGGGGGCAAGCGUUAUCCGGAUUUACUGGGUGUAAAGGGGGCGCAGUCGGGGAUGCAAGCCAGGAGUGAAAGCCCGGGGCCCAACCCCGGGACUGCUCGUGGAACUGCGUGGCUGGAGUGCAGGAGGGGCAGGCGGAAUUCCUGGUGUAGCGGUGAAAUGCGUAGAUAUCAGGAGGAACACCGGUGGCGAAGGCGACCUGCUGGACUGCAACUGACGUUGAGGCCCGAAAGCGUGGGGAGCAAACAGGAUUAGAUACCCCGGUAGUC
rnacentral:rRNA from 1 species